GAUGAACGCUGGCGGCGUGCCUAAUACAUGCAAGUCGAGCGAACAGACGAGGAGCUUGCUCCUCUGUCGUUAGCGGCGGACGGGUGAGUAACACGUGGAUAACCCACCUAUCAGACUGGGAUCACUUCGGGAAACCGGAGCUACUACCGGAUAACAUGUCGAACCGCAUGGUUUUACAGAGAAAGACGGUCUUGCUGUCACUUCUCGAUGGAUCCGCUCCGCAUUAGCUAGUUGGUAAGGUAACGGCUUACCAAGGCAACGAUGGGUAGCCGACCGGGGAGGGGGGUCGGCCACACGGGAGCGGGGACAGGGACCAGACUCCUGCGGGAGGCAGCAGUAGGGAAUGUGCCGCAGUAGGCGAAAGCCUUACGGAGCAACGCCGCGUGAGUUAAGGAGGUCUUCGGAUCGUGAAACUCUGUUAUUAGGGAAGAACAAAUUUGUAAGGAACUAUGGACGUCUUGACGGUACCUAAUCAGAAAGCCACGGCUAACUACGUG
rnacentral:rRNA from 1 species